rnacentral:misc_RNA from 1 species
AGGCGCUGCCUUUCAGACAACCUCUCCUAAAAACUUUCAAGGCUGGUCGAUCCCAAUCAGCCUUUCUUUUUGCGCAGA